CCGCGAUUCUUCCUUUUUUUUCUUCUUUCCUUCUUCUUCUUCUUCCUUUUUUUGUGGCGUGUCUUCGGCGUGUUAAAAUCUAAUAACAUUGGGAAAAAAACGAGCUUCCCCUGCGAGAGACACCGGCAGGCAGCGAGUGUGAAACUCCACAUUUUUAUUUUUUAUUUUUGUUGUUGCUCUUAUUUCGACGCCCUCGGGCAACAUGGAAAGGAAGUGAAGUUGGCCCGCUUUGAGAACAAUCUAAAGCUGCUAGUGAAAGCUGGUUACGUCAGAACUUGAUCCUGUGUAAAAGACCUUCCAGG
ensembl:lncRNA